rnacentral:misc_RNA from 1 species
AAGACUAUAGACCUGCGGAGUACCUGCGGAAGGAUCAUUAUCGUAUUGUAACAAUUGGGGGGGCCACCGUGGGCUGUCGCUGACCCUUUGAAAGGGGGGUCGUGCACGCUCCCAUAGUGUCAUCCUCAUACAAUCCAACUCACCUCUGUGCAUCACCGCGUGGGUUCCUUUCUGGGUCGAGUCAGACUGGCUCAGAAAAAAGGGGCUUGCGUUUUCCAUACAAAUACCCUUAUAAAUCCA